rnacentral:rRNA from 1 species
UACAGAGGUCUCAAGCGUUGUUCGGAUUCAUUGGGCGUAAAGGGUGCGUAGGCGGCGCGGUAAGUCGGGUGUGAAAUCUUGGAGCUUAACUCCGAAACUGCAUUCGAUACUGCCGUGCUUGAGGACUGGAGAGGAGACUGGAAUUUACGGUGUAGCGGUGAAAUGCGCAGAUAUCAGGAGGAACACCGGUGGCGAAGGCGGGUCUCUGGGCCGUAACUGACGCUGAGGAGCGAAAGCAUGGGGAGCGAACAGG